AAUACCAUGCAAGUCGAGCGAAUCGGAUGGGAGCUUGCUCCCUGAGAUUAGCGGCGGACCGGGUGAGUAACACGUGGGCAACCUGCCUAUAAGACUGGGAUAACUUCGGGAAACCGGAGCUAAUACCGGAUACGUUCUUUUCUCGCAUGAGAGAAGAUGGAAAGACGGUUUACGCUGUCACUUAUAGAUGGGCCCGCGGCGCAUUAGCUAGUUGGUGAGGUAAUGGCUCACCAAGGCGACGAUGCGUAGCCGACCUGAGAGGGUGAUCGGCCACACUGGGACUGAGACACGGCCCAGACUCCUACGGGAGGCAGCAGUAGGGAAUCUUCCGCAAUGGACGAAAGUCUGACGGAGCAACGCCGCGUGAACGAAGAAGGCCUUCGGGUCGUAAAGUUCUGUUGUUAGGGAAGAACAAGUACCAGAGUAACUGCUGGUACCUUGACGGUACCUAACCAGAAAGCCACGGCUAACUACGUGCCAGCAGCCGCGGUAAUACGUAGGUGGCAAGCGUUGUCCGGAAUUAUUGGGCGUAAAGCGCGCGCAGGUGGUUCCUUAAGUCUGAUGUGAAAGCCCACGGCGCCCUUUCUACGCAUUUCACCGCUA
rnacentral:rRNA from 1 species